rnacentral:rRNA from 1 species
ACGUUAGCGGCGGACGGGUGAGUAACGCGUGGGUAACCUACCUAUAAGACUGGGAUAACUCCGGGAAACCGGGGCUAAUACCGGAUAAUACAUGAAACCGCAUGGUUUCAUGAUGAAAGACGGUUUUGCUGUCACUUAUAGAUGGACCCGCGGCGUAUUAGCUAGUUGGUAAGGUAACGGCUUACCAAGGCAACGAUACGUAGCCGACCUGAGAGGGUGAUCGGCCACACUGGAACUGAGACACGGUCCAG